GUGAGGAACACGUGAGAAAUCUGCCUUCAACACUGGGAUAACUCCGGGAAACCGGGGCUAAUACCGGAUAUGAAAUCUGCGGGCAUCCGCGGAUUUGGAAAGUUUUUCGGUUGAAGAUGAUCUCGCGGCCUAUCAGCUUGUUGGUGAGGUAAUGGCUCACCAAGGCGACGACGGGUAGCCGGCCUGAGAGGGCGACCGGCCACACUGGGACUGAGACACGGCCCAGACUCCUACGGGAGGCAGCAGUGGGGAAUAUUGGGCAAUGGAGGAAACUCUGACCCAGCGACGCCGCGUGCGGGAUGAAGGCCUUCGGGUUGUAAACCGCUUUCAGCAGGGGAGAAGCGAAAGUGACGGUACCUGCAGAAGAAGCACCGGCUAACUAUGUGCCAGCAGCCGCGGUAAUACAUAGGGUGCAAGCGUUGUCCGGAAUUAUUGGGCGUAAAGAGCUCGUAGGUGGUUCGUCACGUCGGAUGUGAAACUCUGGGGCUUAACCCCAGACCUGCAUUCGAUACGGGCGAGCUUGAGUAUGGUAGGGGAGUCUGGAAUUCCUGGUGUAGCGGUGGAAUGCGCAGAUAUCAGGAGGAACACCAAUGGCGAAGGCAGGACUCUGGGCCAUUACUGACACUGAGGAGCGAAAGCGUGGGGAGCGAACAGGAUUAGAUACCCUGGUAGUCCACGCCGU
rnacentral:rRNA from 1 species